rnacentral:rRNA from 1 species
UCCCUACGGGGGGCAGCAGUCGGGAAUUUUGGGCAAUGGGCGAAAGCCUGACCCAGCAACGCCGCGUGAAGGAUGAAGUAUUUCGGUAUGUAAACUUCGUAAGAAUAGGAAGAAUUAAUGACGGUACUAUUUGUAAGGUCCGGCUAACUACGUGCCAGCAGCCGCGGUAAUACGUAGGGACCAAGCGUUGUUCGGAUUUACUGGGCGUAAAGGGCGCGUAGGCGGCGUGACAAGUCACUUGUGAAAUCUCCGGGCUUAACUCGGAACGGCCAAGUGAUACUGUUGUGCUAGAGUGCAGAAGGGGCAAUCGGAAUUCUUGGUGUAGCGGUGAAAUGCGUAGAUAUCAAGAGGAACACCUGAGGUGAAGACGGGUUGCUGGGCUGACACUGACGCUGAGGCGCGAAAGCCAGGGGAGCAAACGGGAUUAGAUACCCUGGUAGUC